UACGAAGGGGGCUAGCGUUGCUCGGAAUCACUGGGCGUAAAGCGCACGUAGGCGGACUCUUAAGUCGGUGGUGAAAUCCUGGAGCUCAACUCCAGAACUGCCUUCGAUACUGAGAGUCUCGAGUCCGGGAGAGGUGAGUGGAACUGCGAGUGUAGAGGUGAAAUUCGUAGAUAUUCGCAAGAACACCAGUGGCGAGGGCGGCUCACUGGCCCGGUACUGACGCUGAGGUGCGAAAGCGUGGGGGAGCAAACAGG
rnacentral:rRNA from 1 species